GGACGUUGCUCGCAGAAUUAGCGCCGGCUAACUCUGUGCCAGCAGCCGCGGUAAUACAGAGGGUGCAAGCGUUAAUCGGAUUACUGGGCGUAAAGCGCGCGUAGGCGGCUAAUUAAGUCAAAUGUGAAAUCCCCGAGCUUAACUUGGGAAUUGCAUUCGAUACUGGUUAGCUAGAGUGUGGGAGAGGAUGGUAGAAUUCCAGAUGUAGCGGAGAAAUGCGUAGAGAUCUGGAGGAAUACCGAUGGCGAAGGCAGCCAUCUGGCCUAACACUGACGCUGAGGUGCGAAAGCAUGGGGAGCAAACAGGAUUAGAUACCCUGGUAGUCCAUGCCGUAAACGAUGUCUACUAGCCGUUGGGGCCUUUGAGGCUUAAGUGGCGCAGCUAACGCGAUAAGUAGACCGCCUGGGGAGUACGGUCGCAAGACUAAAACUCAAAUGAAUUGACGGGGGCCCGAAC
rnacentral:rRNA from 1 species